CUCUCUGUAAGCAAAACACUAGAAAAGGGGCAGCUGGCAAGGCAAAAACAAAACACAACAGAACAAGAGUCUCUCUGCUCCAGCCUGACACUACAAAAAAGCUGUGGCCACACUCAUCCAUGCCUCAGAAACCCAACUGGCACCCUGAUUUCCAACCUCAGAAGGUAUCAAGAGGAUUUUCCUGUGUCUCCAGAGUGGCUUGGGAGCAGCUCAGCCGGAACUGACCCUUGAGCUAGAGCCACAGAAAGGAAGCAGCAUCAAUCACCAUGAGUUAACUACCAAGCGCUGCGGAGAUCAUGUGCAUCUCAGAAGACGCAACAGAAACAGGUGCAACCAGAGGAUCAGAGGCCCUUCUUCCUGGACCUUGGAACUGAUACAACCUUGAAAAAGGGUGAAGAAAGAACUGAACUGCCUGAGACGAGAUGACCUAGAAUCAAAUGAAAUCAAGUUUCUACCACUCAGCACAAUGGGGAUUUGAAAUAGAAAUACGUUCACUUAGGAAAAUAUAAAUGUGCGUUGCCGGAACCUGAUGGUGUGGCCGGAGAUUCCCAUCUGCUACAGUAACGCCGCUGGUGACAUUAUUAGUGCCCCCACUUAGUCAGCAUGCAGUAGCUGGCCGAACAGCUCCAGGUCACUUGCAGUAUUCUGGUGGGUCCUGCCUACACAAAGGUCAAACACCUCCUGCCUGGCCCUGCCUGGGGAGCAGUAUCUGGUUCAUCCUCCCCGCAUCGUCUGGGUUAAGAACAGUUGAUUUACAGUCCAGGGCCCCGGUAGGAAACAGAUGGAAGACACGAGUUGGGCAAAUCAGAAGAAAAAUUAACAAAUAAGACUCUGUAAAGGGACGUGGAGGUCAACACCAAGGACUGCUGAUAGCAGGACACUGUUCCCUUUUCCCAGGCUGCAGGGACUGGGGCCUGCAGAGCACAUGAGAACACAGAGACAGGGAGGGCUGUGCUUAGGAGGCCACCAGAAAGGAACCAGGACUGCCGGUAAAGGAUGCGGCCAGCCUGCAGCAACAGCAUGGUGCAGGGAGCAAGCAUGCCAGGCAAAUCAAUGCACUGACUUCACUUUUCUCCCUUUGAUGUGCAGAAAGCAGAGCAGGAGGAGAAGGUGGAUAGUACCUACUACAAUUCAUUCUGUUUUCUUCUUUAGGAUGGACAACUCGAUCCUAUGGUUUCACUGUGUCCGACCUCCUGUGCCCUGUUGUUAAGUACUGAAUACCAGGAACUCAGCUAUGUAGAAGUUCUGGAAAGGAGUGGAUGCAGGUGACAGGGUAUAAUUCAUUUGGUUUUCCCGCUUCCUACUCUUUCUUGCUGCUUAGGAUGUGGAUGUGAUAAGUGGAGCACCAGCAGCUGUCUUGGGUCAAAAAGUCACCUUGACUUUGAGUUAUGUCAGCUAAACAGAAAAAUAGAAGCAGUUUGGGUCCUUUGCAUCAUUAAAGGUAUCCCACCAGCCUCAGACUGGCUGACUUCAAAUUGCUUUAUGAACAGAGAGAGGUGCCUUUUAUGUCAUUCAAGCCACUUUCUAGCCCUAAUGAAUGGGCCUUCACAUAUAAAUUGCACCUGUGGGGCUCUGGGCACACAGCACAUCCCAGAUCCUCCUCACCCUCCCGCCCUCACUCACCACACUCCGUCUGUGCCACCCCCGCCCAGCCUUACUCCUGUACGUGCUGCGCCAUCUCUGUUCUCCACCGUUUUCUUUACUCCAAGAUUUUAUUUUAUUUUCCUUCUUCUAGUUCAGUGAAACACUUUUCUAAUGUAGCAGCUAUUAGGCGAAAAAAGUCUCUUUAUUUUGCAACUCUCUUGGUUUCCAUGUGGGGUGGAAAAAGCACAACCUCAGAGACAUGCAGGAAAAAGAGGCCAGAAAAACAGGGGAAACUCAAGUGUUUCUCAUGCCGAGGUGAUAAAAAUUUGCAAAUUGAGAAUCACAGUUAGAAAGAGCAUAAAAGUAAAAUGGAGCUAAAGAAAGAGAACUAAGCAACUGGUGACAAGGAAGGCUGACGGAAAAUCUCCAGUGGGGUCAUGGCAGGAUGGCCGUGUUUUUUAAGGCUGAAUAACACUCGCGUAUAUAUGGAAUUUUAUAUAUAUAUGUGUGUGUGUGUAUGUGUAAUUUGAGUCAUUCAAGGCAUUCAAGGCUUCCCACCAAUCUCAGAUGCCUGACUUUAAAUUGCUUUAUGAGGCUAGGUGCAGUGGGUCACGCCUGUCAUCCCAACACUUUGGGAGGCCGAGGUAGGUGGAUCAUUUGAGGUCACAAGUUUGAGACAAGCCUGGCCAACAUGGUUAAACCCCGUCUCUACUGAAAAUAUAAAAAUUAGCUGGGUAUGGUGGCGUACACCUGUAAUCCCAGCUACUUGGGAGGCUGAGGCAGGAGAAUUGCUUGAACUUGGGAGGUGGAGGUUGCAAAAGCUGAGACCGUGCCACUACACUUUCUCUGUCCGGGUGACAGAGCGAGACUCCAUCUCAAAAAAAAACAAUAAACAAAAAUUUUAAAAAAUAUUGCUUUAUGAACAGAGAGAGAUAACUUUUAUCUUAUUCAAGCCAUUGACUCUAAUUUUAACUGAUAGACUUUCACAUAUAAAUUGCCAUGUAACAUAUUAUGUGUGUAUAUACACACAUAUAUAUACACACACAUGCCCAUAUAUAUACACACAUCUAUAUGUACACAUACACACACAUGCAAUAAUUAUCUCUAUUGGUCCAUCUGUCCAUUGACAUUUAGAUUGAAUUUGUGUCUUGGUUAUUGAGAACAAAGCUUCAAUGGACAUGAGAGAUGCUGAUUUUAUUUUUAAGGGGAUAAGUACUCAUUAGUGGGAUUGCUGGAUUCUAUGGGAAUAAGAGAGUAGAAUGGUGGUUUCCAGGGGCAGGUAGGCAGUGAGAUACAGAAAAACAUUUGUCAAAGAGUACAAGGUCUCAGCUCUGGACAUCUGACAUACGGCAAGGUGACUGUGGUUGAUAACAACAUAUUGUAUACUUGAAAUUCGCAAGAGUAGAUGUUAAGUGUUAGUACUACUAGCACAUAAAAAUGAUAACUUUGCCAGGUGAUGUGAAUGAGCUUGACGGUGGCGAUGGUUUCACAAUGUUUGCAUCUAUCCAAAUACCAUAUUGCACACCUUAAAUAGAUACAGCUUUAAUUUGUCAAUUAUACCUCAAUAAAGCUUAAAAAACUGUUAAAAAAAAAUAAAGACACGAGGUUAAAGUUGAGGCCAAUAAGAAGAGAAUGAGCCACGUGGGAAAGAAAUGAUCGUGUUCCCUGAAGGUGACUGCAGAGGAGCAAAGUGAAUAUUCUAGGGGAGGUUUCCCUGCUGUGAAUAGAGCCACGUGCUAAAGGUGCCUUUUCAUUGUUUAUGCUUGUUUCAUCCUGUUUUUAGAAAAGAUUAAAUUUAUACACAAAUAAUUUAAUUUAUGUUCUAGGCUUAGGAAAUUAACAAGCAAAAUUCUCACAGUGAAGGUUAAUUCCACAUUCACUCAGUGAUGUGGGUGGCAGUUGAGACAGGACUCGGUGCCACGUGGGAGAGUCUCUGAAAGUCGUUAACAGACUUGGAUUCUGACUCUGUUAUUUCCGGAGCUCAUCAAAGCACAGUGAGGCCAGGGAAGUGAAGUGAAAUUACCUUUUCUUUCCUCCGAAGAUCAUGUAAUUGACAUAAACCAUCUGAACCCAAAAGCCAGCAAAGUGUUCUCUUUCUUAAUAACUUCUCAGAAAGGCCCAGCAGCCAGGGCCUCUGCACAGCCAUUAUCCCAGGAACUGUGGGCUCCUGAAGAGCACGUGGGUGUAGCCCAGGGAGGUGAGAGCAGAGUGGGCAGCCAGGAGGGGCCGCUGAGAGGCUUUUUCUAUCUUAUUUCCAUUUUGCGAUAGACAUAGAAAUCCUUGUGCUGUUCCACAUGACUCCAGAGCGCUUCCACUAAAGUCCUGACCCUCUGAUUUGGAUCUUUGUCACGGGAUAUGUUUCCUACCUGCAGUGUUAGCCACGAUGCUGUGAACACAGCUCUGAAUGUACUUUGUGUGUGUGACUAGCCUUCGUGUCCGUCUGCCAGCCGCCAUGAGGAAAACAUGCCUCCAUAUCUGCUGCUCCAAGGACGAGAAGCAACAGGAGUUGUGUGCAAGAGAUCUGACCCUCACAGCCACCGCCAACACACAGGCCCUCCACCAAAACAUACAUGCUCGUGGUGGGAAGUCACUGGGAUUUGGAGACUGCUUCAUCUGUAGCAUUAUGGUAGCAAUAGCUGCCCAGCAGAGCUUCUGCCUUGUCAAGUAAACACUUAAAAUGUCAUGUUUAAAGCUGUGGAUUAUUACGUGUGUGCAUUCACCCAGGCAAUACUAACGCCUUUCUGUAAAAAGUGUUAGGUGCUUGGUACCGUGCCAGCCAUGGUAAGUACUCAACUGUUGUAGCUAUUGCUAAAUGGAAUGCUCCCACUAAUUUCACCAACCCUUAGUGUUCAAUGUUUAGGAUUUUCCCAUAUUUUAAUUCUUUACAACAGCUGUUAUAAUCUCCUGUUUGGAAAUGCCAUUGGACAUAAUCUUAUUAUUUCCUUGGGAUAAAAUCUUAUAAGAAAGAUUAUUCAAAGAGAAUCAUCUCUGUUAAAGGUGCCUUAUUUUUUGAAACUUCUGUGGAGAGGGUGAUAUCUAGCAAUUCUCCCGUGUGAUGGAUGAAGAGGCAGGAGCUAGGAAUAGCUCAGCAUUGUGAAUGGCCCAAAAAUCUGUGAGCAGAGAAAAAUAAAUGUCCCACACAAAUGUACACUGGGCGUCAUUCCGAUUCCCAUUUUAAUUGUUGGAGAAUUGUAGACCGAGCUAAUGCAGUGAAAGAAACCCAUGAGUUCUCCACAUCUGUGUACCAGAAGUGCAGAGGGGUCCCGGUCCCUUCUCCCGAGUGGGUUACUCUGGAGAGUUCCACCUGAGCCAUCGCUUUCUGAGACUCACUCGAGUUUGUGUGUACAAGUAUUAGUACCAAUUUAUUUCUUAACCAAUAAAAAUACUGGUAACAGAUUUUUAACUAAGACAAUACCAUUCAAUCAGUAUUAGACGCCGCCAUAAUCAUGUGUGUCCAUUCUGACCAUUCUCUGUAAUUGUUAAAAUGCAAAGGGAGGUGGAAAUAUUUAUAUUCGUGGAGUCUUUGGAUUGAGCACUAUGUCAGUAACUGAAACUAGCAUUCUGAGAAUUAAAAAAGGAUCAUAUAGAAAGGGAAGCAUAGUUCCUAAGGUAGUAAAGUUACUUGGAACUCGGACUGGUGACAUUGUUUUGUUUGAAAGAUUUGUUUAUAGAUAAAAAAGGAAAUGUUGGCUUUCAGUUCAUCACAUUUCAGGGAACAAUGGAUUCUUCUUUCAAAGUGAAAUGUCAUCUGUUUUUCUACAGAAGAGAAGCUGCUGCAGCUGAGCUGGGAAAUUAACUGCUAAAAUAGCCAGAGAGAGAGAACUACUGAUAACAGGGACAGAUUGGCUGUUCUAAUCCACCCAUUCCUAUUUAUUUCCGUGCAACUGCGGAUGGGGUUUCAGCUCAGUCUUGCAUCCCCCUUUUCUUACCCUUUUGCUGAUACAUAACUGCAGGUCCUCAGUGUGCACUCAAGACCAGUGGUUGGGGAGUUGAUUUCUGAAUAGAAAAGGCUAUAACCUGGGAACAUUUCCAAAUUCACAAUUUCAUUAUAUAAUUUGUUCUUUUAAUUUGUUUCCAGACACUCAAGAUACGGCUUCACUCAGUUCAUAUUUUAUGGGAUGAUUUCCCUUUUUGUUCGUUCUUUAACUUAUUAAUUCAGCAAAUAUGUGUUAAGCAUCUUCUGUGUCCUGGUGGUUGAGGGGUAAUAAAAGACCGGGCCCUGGCCUCAGGGGGCUUAUAGUCUAAAUGAGGAGGCUGACAGUAAAAUAGGAGAGAGUAUGUAUAACACAACUUCUGGAAGUAUCAAGUGUGACCAUUUUUUUUAUUUUAUUUUUUUUAAAUUUUUUUUCAGGUUUUCCUUUCUUUUAUUUUAUUUUAUUUUUUUAUUGCAUUUUAGGUUUUGGGGUACAUGUGCAGAACAUGCAAGACAGUUGCAUAGGUACAGAAACUGGACCCCUUCCUGACAUCUUACACUAAAAUUAACUCCAGAUGGAUUAAAGACUUAAACAUAAGACCUGGCACCAUAAAAACCCUAGAAGAAAAUCUAGGCAAAACCAUUCAGGACAUAGGAGUAGGCAAGGACUUCAUGAACAAAACACCAAAAGCAUUGGCAACAAAAGUGUGACCAUUUUAAAAUAAAUCAAUCAAGGUGAAAGGACCAAGGAUAUCUGGGAAAGUUGGGUUGUUUUAGACAAAGCACCAAGGAAAGUCCCUCUGGGAAGUCAUAUUUAAAUAGAGACCCGAGUGAAGCAAAGAGAGAGCCACACGGAGAUCAGAGGAAACAGCAUUUCCGGCAGAGGACACAGUGAAUGCAAAGGCCUGGUGGUGUGAAUGAGCUCAGUGCAUUCAGAGAACAGCAGGCAGGCCAGAUUCACUGGAAUGUAAGGCCAGGAAGACCUCCAGGACCAGAAAAAGGACCUUGAAGACAGGUUUGGAUUUUAUUCAAAGUCCGAAGGAAGCUUUAGGGAAAUACAGUGAUGUGACCAUGUUAGAAACAUCACUGGGGAUUGGAGGCACUAUUUUUUUUAUUUUAGUAGAGGUGGGGUGUCACCAUGUUGGCCAGGCUGGUUUCGAACUCCUGAACUCAGGUGAUCCAUCCAUCUCAGCCUCCCAAAGUGCUGGGAUUACCGGCGUGAGCCACCAUGCCUGGCCUGGCACUGUCUGUUAAGCAUCUUCUGUGCCCUGGUGGUUGCAGGGGGAGAUAAAAGACCAGGUCCUGGCCUCAUGGGGCUUGUAGUCUAAAUGAGAAGGCUGACAGUAAAUGAGAAGAAAGAAACUAGAGUAUAAUUUCUAGAAGUGUCAAGUGUGAGAAUUUUUAAAAUAAAGCAAUCUAUGUGUGAGAACAAAGGAUAGUCACAUAGCAAAACUCCCUGCAGAUGACCGAAACCAGAUUCAUCAUGUGCAAUAAUGUCAUAUUUUUAAAAAAACAAUCAGCUUAAUUUCUGGAUGGAGAACUUGGCCUUGACCAUUUUUAUAAAAUGUGUAAAUUUUUUUUUAAAUGUAAA